UGCCGAGGCUUGCAAUUAAAAGUAGCCUACAAACAAUACACAAGGUAUGCUAUGAAAAUAUUUAUGGGUGUAAAUAUGGGUGAAGCUUGGCAACAUUGUACCUUAGCAAAGUAAAACAACAACAACAACGACGACGACGUCGCCAUCUUUAAUUAAUUAGUUAUGGGCCGCCUGGCUAGCAGCUAAUUAGUGACCCGAGUCAAACACACCCACAGAUGCGCGCUGGCUAACAUGCUAACUAUGCUAAAUGCUAACCUGCUCACGGUGGGUGACUGCGCCUCGUUAAGCUCAACGAACUGAGGAACAGUGGGACGGAGAGAGGACAGGUUAUACUGGGACCAGAGAGGCCGAGUGGACUGGUUAUACCGGGACCAGAGAGGCCGAGUGGACUGGUUAUACUGGGACCAGAGAGGUUGAACCAGGAGCAGACUGGUUAUACUGUGACCAGAGAGGUUGAACCAGGAGCAGACAGUGGAGGACAGGUGGAGCUGCAGACUGACGUUCAUACAGAUGAGAUGAACCUCAAGCGAGUGUGAGCUCGAACCCAAUGCUGGAUCCAAGGUCAGAUAGACCCCACGGUGACUGGAAAAGCCUUGUGGGUCCUCUGAUGAAGACUGUUGGGCUGUUAUGAUGUCACAAGUUCAUUACUGGUGACUGGAAAAGCUCCUUGGUGCUUCGGACAAAGAUUCUAGCUGCUGCAUCUCUCCAGAACUCUGCCAUUCCACCCCAUUCACUUCCUGUCAUCUUAUCCAGAGCCCAGGACAAGCUCAUCAAAAGCCUAUUUCUCUUCACGUCCAGAUCCUCAACUCCAUCUUCAUCUCAUCACCACCACCAGCGUCUAGACUCCAUAGGGGAGGUUCCCUAAUCUACUACGUCUUAAUGACCCUCCUAGAAUAUAUGACAUCACGAUGGGGUCUAAUCCACAAAGACUUUUCACAUUUCUCAUUCUAAUGUGCACAUGUUAAUAAAUAUUCUUUCCUCUCAGAACGAGUCGCUCCUGACAGAAAUAGGGAACUACUGUAUAUAAUUAACAAAGAAUUGGGGUUGUUUUGGGUACUUAUCCAUAGUCAGUGUCUUAAAGACAGCAGAUGGCAGUUUGGAGAAGCAGGCAGUAGUAUCAGCACAGAAGCUGAGUAAUGCACUAGUGUGGAAGAGGGUCAGCAGCAAAACAUAGCCACCUAAGAAGGCCCACCUAGAAAAAUUAAUAUCAGUUUAAGAGUACACUGUAUUUAGGAAAUUUUCUCCACCUUACCUUGCUGUCAGACAGCUCUUUCCAGCAGGGAACUGAACUAAAAACUGAAACUUAUCUAUGCUCUCUUCAUAGUUAGUUUAUGCUGCCUCCAUCAGUUAGUUUGGUUGUGUUAUUGUGUGACUGGCGUUUUAAAGUAGUUGGUUUGGAUUCACCAAAGUCACACAAUAACACAAACUAACCACUCGAGACAUUGGAAGACCUUCAGCUCCCAUGUUCUGUGAGGCACAAGUACUGUUUUUGUCAGUGGAGUCUGGUGGCUUUGAAGAGAGCAUAAGUAAAUUUAAGUGUCAGUUAAGUUCCCUGUCAGAAAGGGCUGUCUGGCAGCAAGGAAAAAUGGUCAGAAUAUUCUAAAUAUAGCCUUCACUUCAACUGCUAUGGAUUUAUUUUAGGUGGGCCAUACUUUUUUUUUUAUUUAACUAGGAAGGGUGAUGGAUGCAGUCUCAAUUAACCCUUGUCUGAUGAUUUCAUAUAAUUGAAACAGUCUAUGAAAGGUUGCCAAAUUUAGCAGAAUUUCUAGUCUUGUUUUUUCAGAGAUAAUUUAAUUUUCUGUGGUUCCAGGUGCUUCACUACAGCAUUCAUUAGAUCCGACUGUGUUGGCGCAGUUCUCUCUUUCCAGUUAAGAUCAACUUGUGUGCUACAGGGCUGAAAAAUGACAGCAUGAUGUGUUCCACACUGUCCUUUACUAAACAGGUGGGCUGUUUUUUAAGUGGCUAAGUUAUGUUAUGUUGCUGCCCCCAUCCACAGCAGUACAUUGUUGAGAUACCAUGGCGGUACUCCUGCUUACCUCUCCAAACUGGGGUCACGCCAACAGCCAUCUAUUGUAGGUAUACACUGACUUUGGAUAAGUACCUCAUACAACACUUAAAAAAGUCUGAAGUAUCUCUUUGUCAUAUUAGCAGUGAACUGUUUUGCCUUUAACCUAAUGUUAAUAACAUAUUAUAAAAAUAAAAUAGACAGAUCAAAAACUCUUUUCCCUCUGAAAGAGUGUGUCAGUGACCCAUGUCAAUUCAAAUCUGUUAAUCUUAGGAUAGCAAAGCAACGAUCCGCCCAGUGCUCACUAUGAUUGGCUAGUGCUUGUUGCCUUCAUUGGUUGGAUUGGUUAGGUGUAGACAAGAGGAGUGUGAUUGGUUAGGGUUAGGGUAAGAAAGUCAGGGUAAGGCAGGCCAUUCCUUCUCUAUCCAAGGAUUCACAAAUUCACCACCGCAACAGAAGACCAAGACACAAUGUAUACAAACUUGGGCUGGAAACUGUUGCUUACUAGCUGUGUGCUAACAGUGUUUUUGUUUGCAGUGGUAGUGAAGAGUAAGGACACCACCACAGGGUGUCGACAGUUAUCAGACAGUUCAAUUUAAUGCUUUUUAAGACCCGUCCAAUACACUUUUUAAUCAAAUUUAGGACAGAUUUUUGGACAAAUCAUGUUUUAGUUAUUUAAGCAUCGCAGGUAAGCAAGUAGUAUGUGUGUGGUCUUGUGCAGAGGUAGGUGUUAUGUAAGAAUAUGGUUAUUAGAGUGAGUUAAGUCAAUCUACAUUUGCAACUAUUAAGUAAAAUGACAGUAUUAUAGUUUUUUAAAGGUUUGUAACAUUAGAAUGUGGACUUUUACAGAGAAAGGCUUCACUCAUUUUCACACGAAGUUAAAACAUGAAUAAAUUAAAUUAUAUAAAAUGUUUGCAGUAGUUAAGACCUCACAAAUUCAAAUUUAAGAAUAUUUAAUGUCUUUUAAGGCCUUAUUGUUGUAACUUAAGACUUUUAUGGACCUGUAGACACCCUGCACCAACGGCUAAACAGAAUGAUGUUAACUUACUAACCUGUUUAAUGUGCUGCAGCCGGACAGCUAAUUAGCUAUCUAGUAAGCAAACUGCAAAUCUCCCUGAUGAAAUGUUUGUUUGCUCAUCCAGGAACCAUACUGCAACACAUGCAUCCUUGUUUGCUGGUUAGACAGUUAAGCUGAAUUUAUUUGUUGUAAAGCCCUGUGAGGCAAAUUGUGAUUUGUGAUAUUGGGCUUUAUAAAUAAAAUUGAUUGAAUUGAUUGAUUAAGUUGGAUGUGAAGGAAAAAUUAGAUUGUUGUUCAAAGUCUGUGGCUCUUGUUUUGUGUCGCAGGCUGCUGUCAGGUUGUUAGUCAGUGUGACCAUCUGCUUGUGAUACAACUGCUUUAUACAAACAUGGUUUAAAAUGAAACUAUUUGAUUAGCUGCAUGAAAACAACACUUUUCUGCAAAUGCUAAAACAGGGAGCACCAUAAUGAAACCAAACAGUGUUGAAUAUUAAUGUCUCCCUUUUGGGUACAGAUUUAUAUACUGUAUGUAUAUGUAUUAUGCAGAUAUG